UAAUUGCUUGAUCAAAUUGUGUACAAAAGUAAUAGGCUUUCCCUUUACAGGAGUGAUACGGUGAUGUUUACAUACAAUAGUUGUUUAUGCAAAUUAUCAUUAACUAUGGUUGCUGCUUACCCAAUAGUAUUAAGCCUAUGGAAACUCAUUUUUGUUGUUGUACUCCUAGUGAUAAAACUUAUGGUUUGAGAACAUUUGCAGACUGCGUGGAACAUAUUGCAGCUACCAUAAGCAGAAAACAUCUGAGAAAUACUCCUCUAGCAUGAGGGCUGAACUCAAAGGCGGGAAAGUGUCGGCAAUCAAUUUGAUUGAUUGAGGAAGAUGAUGAAGAGUUUUUGAAGUAUAAGUUUGAAUAUAAUAUAUUUGGUUU